UCUUUCUUCUUCGUAUAAAUCGUGAAAAGGAUAACUAAUAUGGCGAUGGCGGUAAAUAUGAAAAAAGUUGAGGGAAAAAUUUUUGGGAUAAAAAAUCGGAUGAAACAUUUGUAUUUAUUUAUCAAUAUUAUAGAAUUGAAAAUUUUUCAUUUUACUGUCUUGUAAUUCCGACAUUGGCCUCCAAUAAAAUUCGAUAAGACGAUAACAGGUAUGACUAUUAUUUGCAGUCUGACAAAAUAAUCGUUAUCAUCGCGGCGACGAUAAAUUGACGUCAGACACGCGUCACCCACGCACGCAAUAGUUCUCCAUAACUCGGCAAUGGUCAUUCUUGGAAACAAAGGAUCCGAUGGAUGUUGCUAUGUUAUUUUUUCUUCCCCUUUUUAUCUUUUCUUUCUCAUUUAAUUUUAUCUCAUUGUUCCACGUUUCAAGGAUAAUCCGGCAAAGCUAUCGUUCUGGUAGAGGUUAGGAUGUUUUGAAACACCAUGAAAAUAUGUUCGCCAAAAUACAUGCUGCUGUUUCUUCUUAAUUAAGUUAAUUAUGACAGCUAAUGUAAUGUGGAACAAAGAUUCAAAAAAUUGUGACAAAAAUUCUUUAUUAUGAUAUAAUAUGUUGUGAAAAAAGUGAAUUUCUUAAUUACAAAGGAUUUUAUUUUGUGUUUUAUGAGAUAUUUCUAUAAGAUUUUAAUAAAAUUUAAAUUGAGAAUAACAAUGAAGUAUAUUCGAAAAAUAUCCAAUUAUUUAACACCAGAAAAUUGCAAUAAAUCUUUCCGGUUAAUGUAAUUUCUGCCCAAGUUCCGCUUUCACUCAAUUUGUAAUUUAGUGAAAGAAUAUCUUCUUCAUUGUAAUUUAAUUCAAUUUAAUUCUGUUAACAAACGGAAAAUAAAGCGGCUAAAUAUUGCAAAAUUGUAAAAAUAACUGAAUAAAAGUCAUCAGAAGAAAUUAAUAAAUUAGAAUGGCCAACAACGAAUGUAUAAAACGAUAUAAAUUUGUUGAAAAACUAUUUCUUUAAAGAUAGAAGAUUUUAUUAGAAAAGAUAAGUAUAUAAGAUAAAAGAAAUUCUUAAAAUUAAAAAAAUUAUUGAAAAAAAAGAUUUAAAAUAAAAAAUGGCAGCUGCAAAUAAGAAUUGAGAAAUAUAUUGAAACAAUUCAACUUCUAUCUGAAACAUUUUUUUGGAAAAAAAUAAUGAUAUAAAUCAAAGUAAUAUCAUCAUACGAGACAAUUUGUAUUUUAUUCAACAAAUAUGAAAAAUUCGGAUUAAAUAUAAAAAAAAUUAUAAUUAUAUUAUUAAAGGUUUCUAUAUAAAUGACUCGAAAUCUAAAUUAAAUGCGUAAAAGAAAAAAUUGUUCAAAAUGAUGCAAGACAAGUUUAAUCAAACAAAUUUAAAUUUAUAAAUUUCUGUAUUAAUAAUUUCCAACCAUUUCUAAAACUCAGCAGUCACUUUGUUGAAAUAAGAACAGGUUUUCUAUCGAAAGCUGUUUGAACAUUUAUCGUGGCAAUUAUUAGUUUAUUAGUUAUCCCAACACUACUUUCUAUUCAUUAAAAUACUCGCAGCAUCAAGAAGAGAAGCGAGAAAACAUACAAUUUAACACCGGGCACAGCUUCUAACAGGAUCUUUGCGCAACGAACAAAGCAAAUAUAGUUGAAUCUAAACGUGUUCGGAAUUUAUGAACCCGUCUAAUUAUGUUUGAUUUAUGAAUUUGAAAUAAAUUCAUGAAAUGGUACAGAGAAAGAAGAUUAUAUGAGAAAUUAUAAUGCGUAU